AAUAAGUGUAGUUUUACACUAUUUAUCUUCAACGUUUGACCAUUUGUCCUAUUUGAAAAAUUUUUAUGAUUACUAUUUUUAUUGUUAUUAGAUGAUAAAACAUGAAUAGUAUUUUAUGUGUGACUAAUUUUUUUUAAAAAAAUUUAAAAUUUUUCAAAUAAGACGGACGGUCAAACGUUGGACAUGAAUUACCACGAUUGCACUUAUU
rfam:Oryza barthii chromosome 9, whole genome shotgun sequence.